rnacentral:rRNA from 1 species
GUGUCUUCGAGUCGUUGAUUUCACACUGCCGAGAAAAGCCUCUAGAUAGAAAAUAGGUGCCCGUACCGCAAACCGACACAGGUAGUCAAGAUGAGAAUUCUAAGGUGAGCGAGCGAACUCUCGUUAAGGAACUCGGCAAAAUGACCCCGUAACUUCGGGAGAAGGGGUGCUCUUUAGGGUUAACGCCCAGAAGAGCCGCAGUGAAUAGGCCCAAGCGACUGUUUAUCAAAAACACAGGUCUCUGCUAAACCGUAAGGUGAUGUAUAGGGGCUGACGCCUGCCCGGUGCUGGAAGGUUAAGAGGAGUGGUUAGCUUCUGCGAAGCUACGAAUCGAAGCCCCAGUAAACGGCGGCCGUAACUAUAACGGUCCUAAGGUAGCGAAAUUCCUUGUCGGGUAAGUUCCGACCCGCACGAAAGGCGUAACGAUUUGGGCACUGUCUCAACGAGAGACUCGGUGAAAUCAUAGUACCUGUGAAGAUGCAGGUUACCCGCGACAGGACGGAAAGACCCCGUGGAGCUUUACUGUAGC